AGGAGCGAGCGUGCAGUAUGGAGCCUCCUGGAUCUGGCGAAGUCCAGCUGAAAGGGCGUCUGCAGGCCCUCUACGCCAGCCUUGGCCCCAUUUUACAGAUGCGGAAACAAAGGCCCAGAGGAAGGGAAGGCGACUCGCCCAGAGGCACGAGCUUGGACUAGAACCCGAGAGCCAGAGCUCCCCCCACCCCUCCUCUGCAUCUCCUGAACGCUGAAGGGAGAGGCAGCUCUGCGGGGACGACCGGAAGCUGCCAGAGAAGUCGGUGGUGGGCAUCCGUGGAGAUCAUUGCAGAGCCUCCCUAUCGCCACGGCUGCCAUUGCUCUUGGGGACGACGGAUCAGCUGAACACAGCUCUACCCCAGGUACAAUGACGACCAGGUCAGAGCGGUACCAAGAUGGCUAACAGCCAGCCAGCCUCUCCCUUGUGGGCCAUGCUGUCCCAGGGAUCUCCAUGCCUUUGGGAGCGAGAGCUCUGAGCAAUGAUAGAAGGCCCCAGUUGCACCUCGAACCACCCAAUUCUCCAGAAGGAAAGGGCCCAGAAGGCAAAUCGGUCUACACCCUGGCUCUGGUUAGAAGGCCCUCAGUGCAUUCCUGUGAAUCACCAUGUCCAAAGUCCUAGGGGAUUCUAUUUAUUUUGAGAGAGAAAGAGAGAGAGACAGAGAGAGAGAAAGAGAGAGAGAGAGAGACCCCAAAGGAUUCUAGAUGUGAGUGGAGGCACCAUUUCUGAUUUGGGAAUACCUAAAACUCAACAGUGGUACCAAGAAGAAGCUUCUGCUGAGGACCUGCAUGGGCCAGGGAGCUUCGACCAAGACACAGGAAGGGGCUGAGAAGGUUUCCACCUGCAGCAUAUGUGAUGGGGAAGGCCAGAGGGAGGAGAGCGAGGACGAAGACCCUCGGCCUCCCACCCACACUCCCUUUUCUUUGCUGGUGCCUUCAGAUUGGGGGCGGGUGGGGGUUGUGGUCAGGAUAAUGAUCAGGAUGUACUACUUGUCUAGAGGAACCAGAUUAUUUUAUUUUUUAUUUUUUAUUUUUUUGAGAGCCAUGUGGAAGUCAAGAAGUGGGCUUGAUCUUAAGGGCGGAACAGAGAUCCUGGGUCAACCCAAGCCUUGUAGAGAAAGCGCGUAGUGGACAUUCGCCCUGGGAGCCGGGGGAUGAGGCUGUUUGUUCUUCUCUGGAGCACUGUGGAGUGUGGCUCUUGACCUCUUUGGGCCUCAGACCUCUUCAGGAUCCGGCAGAAGCUGUCUCCCUCUGCCCUGCCGGCCGCACACAUGCACAGGACAGCAUUUACGUGGCAGCCCCUCAGAAGCCCAGCUGGGCCCUGCGUUAGGAAGGAGUCCUUCAGGAAGGGGACAGCCCUGAGCCCAGGCUCCCUGGUAUCUGGGCUAAUGAGGGAUAUUAAUGACACGGAGGGUCCAGAAUGAGGAAAAUCGAAACCAGAUUUCUAUCGCGUGAGCUAAAAAGAAGCACAACACACGUCCCGCGUUGCAAUUUUGUAAAAAAGAUAACACCGGUAAAGAGAGAACGGUGAAGGCCAUGUGGACAAAUGAAAACAAUCUGCAGAAAAUGUUUGCUGAUCCCUGGUCUAGAAGCCCGGCUCUGCACCUUGCUCUCCUUGUCUGUGUAAUGUGGAAUCCGAGUUAAGUACCGCGAAAGCUCCUUCCUGGCGUGUGGUGGAGUCAUUCUGCAUUCCACGGUUCUCGCUCUGCCCUUGAGGGCCCGCGUUGCACACAUCUUUGUGUCACUAGCAGCCCCGUGAUGCCUGCACCGAGCAGGUGCUCAGGCAGCAUCAGCUGACUGGUGUUAUGGUGGCCGGAGAGGGAGCUCAGAGCCCGGCCCUGUUGCCGCACGGCUGCGUGAGCUUAGGCAGCACUUUGAGUCUCUGAGCCUCAGUUUCCUCACUUGAAAAAUGGGCAUAAUAACUUAGCACCGACUUGCUAGGGUUGCGAUGAGAAUGAAGGAGAUAAGUACCCGGGGAGGUGCCUUCGGAAGUCUUCGGUGCUGUCCAAAUGCUAGCAGCUACUGUCACUGCUGUUACUGGGCAUGUCACACGUACUCGGCUUUAUUGCCUAGUUCCAUUUGGCGUGCUUUAACUCAUAGGAUGGUUUCCCUAAGGAUGGUUGGGUUCUUGAGGGUCAAGGUGAUUCUAAAGGUCCCAGGUGAGUGGUCUCAGUGAUGGGAUGUGUGUGGCCCUGGGGCACCCCCUGCCUGAUCACUGCUUGCUCCUUUAGUUGUGAGGGCAGAGAAGGACUGGGAAGGGAUAGUUUAUUAAGACUUGGGGAGGGUGGACCCCCCGAGUCUUGGUCCCUGACCAUUCCCAGGGCGGGGGAGGGAGCCAGACCUGCACAGUGGGCUCAGUCCUGCCCCCACAGCCACCUCUGUUCAUUGAGACAGAGGAUUGGGCUCUCCCGCCCAGGCUGCCUGCCCCCUGCCCGGCGGAUCGUCCUGCCACAGGAUCUAGCUUCAUCUCUUGAUAACCUUGACCGGCCUUUGUUUAGCAUUUUCUUUUCAAUGAGCUCUCCCACAGACAUCAUUUUGUCUUCCAUAAGAAUCCCAUGUGGUAGGGAUUUUAUCUACCCCCCCUUAGAAAUGAAGAUGCUGAGGUUCAGGGAGGUUAAGACACUUGCCCACAGUGAGUGUCCCAGCUGGGAUGGGAUCUGCAUUCCUUAAUGCCAGGGCUCUUUCUGUCACACCAAGUUGCCUCUCUUCACCUGCCUCAGUUGUACCAAUGAACCUGUCUUCUCCCAGUCCCUCCCCCACUCCUGCGUGGCUUUGUCCAGGCUGACCCCCAGGCCCGGGAGAGUCCCCUUCACCCCCAUGCUGGUAUAGAGGCUGGCCCUCUCCUGCAAUGGAAACCUAGUGUGACAGCAGGGGUUCUGGAACUCCCCUCGCCUGGUCCUGACCCCUGGGUCCGGGGUGGGGGGGGUAGAGAUGGCUAGGGAAGGCGCACACUGGGGGUGCCAGGGAAGACAUGUCAGAUUCAGUUACCAUGACGUGGAAUAUUUAUGCUGCCAUGGGGCCCUGGGUGUCAUACUGCAUUAAGUGGGCACUCAGUGCCCACUCCCUCCAGCCACGAGAUCAGCUGCCUGCCCCUCUCUCCCUUCUUCCUGCUGGAUGCCAUAGUCGGUGGCAUCCCUGACCCCUGAGGAUACAGUCAGGGCCUCCUGGGUGCCCAGCCUUUGGGAGGCGCCACUUCCUAGGGACUGAGGGUUUGACUGAGGGAAGGAAGCUUUGACCCCUUAACACAUCAUUCUGGUGUCUCCAGGGGGGCAGGCUCCUAUUUCACGGUUUGGUGGGGAGAGUUCAGGCUCCGAGGACCCAUCAGACCCUCUCUGUAAGCUCAGCGCAGAGGCGAUGCCCAACGAAGCCUGGAUACAAGGGGAAGAUGGGUACAAGCCUGGAUGUCACGGGGAAGAAACUCAGACCUUGCCUCCCGAAAGGAGAAGACCCUGUCAGUCCUGUAGGGACGCCCAGCAGGCCCCUGCCAUCAAUGUGGUUUCCCUUCUGCUUUGCUCAACUUCAGUUUUGUCUCUGCAACUC